rnacentral:rRNA from 1 species
UACGUAGGGGGCUAGCGUUGUCCGGAUUUAUUGGGCGUAAAGAGCGUGUAGGCGGCCAGGUAGGUCCGUUGUGAAAACUCGAGGCUCAACCUCGAGACGUCGGCGGAAACCCUCUGGCUAGAGUCCGGAAGAGGAGAGUGGGAUUCCUGGUGUAGCGGUGAAAUGCGCAGAUAUCAGGAAGAACACCCGUGGCGAAGGCGGCUCUCUGGGACGGUACUGACGCUGAGACGCGAAAGCGUGGGGAGCAAACAGG